CGAUUUGCGAAAAUUUUAAAUUCUGCCACUCUUUUUGGAAUAAUCUACAGUCUAUUAGUGUAAUAUUUGUCAAAUUGCGUCUUAUUAGCAAAACUAUCAUAUUUUUAAACGAUUCCUUAGCAACAAUGACUAGUGCAUUUCUAGUGCCAGGCAUUACGCAGUUUAGCCCGACCAAGUAGUAAAAUCUAUAGUGGGAAUAUCUGUAAUCUGAUUGGUUGAGAGUAGCUGUGAACACACUCAAACGUUUAACAACAUCUAGUCGGGCUCAUUUUCAAAAGCGUGACUUGAAUUUUGAGCUUUCGAAAUAUACGUUCGGAAAUCGAUAUAAUAAGUGAACUAUAAAAGAAACCAUUUCUGUUCGACAAUCAGGCGAGCAAAAUAUACUCGUAAAGCAGCGGCCAAUUCCAAAUUUACAAGCGACUACAGGCAAUAGAAGCUUUCAGGAAAGUUGGUACUCGAAGAAAGAUUGGCUUUGUGGUAGCUCAGAAAAGAAUGCAUUGUUCUGUUGGUCUUGUCUUUUGUUUUGCCCUGGAUCGUAAUCUUCAUGGACGCAGACGGGAUUCAAAAACAUGAAGAAUUUCCUAUUCGAUUGUAAGAAGCAUGAGAAGGCAAAAUCGCACAUGGGUGCUUACAAGACCUGGAAGACCAAUGGUUUUCAGCCUCGUGUGUCGACUGUCUCAUGUCACAAGCUAGACGUGAAGAGAUUCAACGUCAUAACGAGGAGGUUGAUGAGGCAACUGAUGUUUCUACCAAAGAACAAUUGAGUGUAAUUGUUCGAAUGGACAAAGGGGAAAGUGUCAUUGAAAGACAGCUUGGGUUUGUUGAUGUUAGUUGUGAUAGGACUGCAACUGCUAUAUCAUCAGUGGUUAAGGGUAAGUUAAGUAAAUAUAAUAAUGUGAAGGAGAAAUUUAUUGGACAGACUUAUGAUGGUGCAUCUGUUAUGUCUGGUCAUCUCAAUGGUGUUCAAGCUCAAGUUCAGCAGGAUUAUCCUUAUGCUCAAUUUGUUCACUGUGCUGCCCAUAGACUAAAUCUAGUAUUAUGUCAAGCUGCAUCCUCCAUUUCACCUGUUAAGAUUUUCUUUGUUAAUAUUAGUGCUUUCUGCACCUUUACUAGCAAUUCCCCCAAAAGAAAAGCUUUACUAUCAUCCCAUAGACUUGAGUUUCCUAGUCCUGGUGACACAAGAUGGUAUUAUAGGGCUCAUGUCAUCAAUGUCUUGCAUUCUAAAUAUGAGAAACUGAUAGACAUAUUUGAAAAUCUUACUGAUAAUCCCAUAGGUUGGGAUGAUGAAACGUUAAAUAAGGUUACUGGUUUACUUGGCUACCUUAUGUCUUCUUGUUUUGUUUCUUGGUACUAGUUUUCCAGAGAAUUCUUGAGCAAUCAUCCAUACUUUAUUCUAUCUUGCAAGACAAGGACACUGACUUUCAUUAUGGAGUGAGUAGGGUUGAGAGAUUCAAGGCCUUUGUUGCUUCUCUGAGAAAUGAUACAGAAUAUUGUCAGGUGUACGACCUGGCUGUUGAGAAAGUGGGACCACCAGUAACCAGGAUUUCCAUUCACAAAGACAUACUGUCAGAGAAAGAAGACGCCAACACAUUGCAUGAUGAGGUAGUAAAGAAGUUCAUUGAAAAACCACGAAGACUUGCUUUCUUAUACAAAUAGGUAUUCAUAUUUGGCUGAUAGCAAGCUGAUGAUGUCUUACGUCCAUGGCAUGUGAGAAUUUUUCCUGGAACUUUUUAAUGCAGGCAAUGAUGAUUGUCAUUUCAGCACGACAAUGAACGGCAUCACAACUUUUGAUAGUUGUUGAGGACAAAUAUCAGCCUUUUUCGGUUCUUUUGUCAAAGUUUCUUUACAAGAUGUACAUAGUUAUCUAUUUAUGUAUGUGGUGUUGAGAAAAU